UACACAUGCAAGUCGUACGGAAGUUUUUAACUUUAGUGGCGGACGGGUGAGUAACACGUAAGAAUUUACCUUUAGGAGGGGGACAACAGCUGGAAACGGCUGCUAAUACCCCAUAUGCUUUCGAGUGAAAUGGAAUUUUCCGCCUAGAGAGAAGCUUGCGGCUGAUUAGCUUGUUGGUGGGGUAAUGGCCUACCAAGGCGACGAUCAGUAUCUGGUUUGAGAGGACGAUCAGACACACUGGAACUGAGACACGGUCCAGACUCCUACGGGAGGCAGCAGUGGGGAAUUUUCCGCAAUGGGCGAAAGCCUGACGGAGCAAUACCGCGUGAGGGAUGACGGCCUAUGGGUUGUAAACCUCUUUUUUCAGGGAGGAAUCAAUGACGUGUACCUGAAGAAUAAGCAUCGGCUAACUCCGUGCCAGCAGCCGCGGUAAGACGGAGGAUGCAAGUGUUAUCCGGAAUCACUGGGCGUAAAGCGUCUGUAGGUGGUUUAAUAAGUCAACUGUUAAAUCUUGAGGCUCAACUUCAAAAUCGCAGUCGAAACUAUUAGACUAGAGUAUAGUAGGGGUAAAGGGAAUUUCCAGUGGAGCGGUGAAAUGCGUAGAGAUUGGAAAGAACACCGAUGGCGAAGGCACUUUACUGGGCUAUUACUGACACUCAGAGACGAAAGCUAGGGUAGCAAAUGGGAUUAGAUACCCCAGUAGUCCUAGCCGUAAACAAUGGAUACUAGAUGUUGAACAGAUCGACCUGUGCAGUAUUAAAGCUAACGCGUUAAGUAUCCCGCCUGGGAAGUAUGCACGCAAGUGUGAAACUCAAAGGAAUUGACGGGGGCCCGCACAGCGGUGGAGCAUGUGGUUUAUCGAUGCACGCGAGACUACAGGUUUGACAUGAUACGAAUUUCUUUGAAAGAAGAAAGUGCGUUGAACGUAUACACAGUGUGC
rnacentral:rRNA from 1 species